rnacentral:rRNA from 1 species
AUUGAACGCUGGCGGCAGGCCUAACACAUGCAAGUCGAGCGAGCGGCGGACGGGUGAGUAAUGUAUGGGGACUGCCCGAUAGAGGGGGAUAACUACUGGCAACGGUGGCUAAUACCGCAUACUAUCGGACAACCCCUAUGGGAUUAGUUAGUAGGUGGGGUAAUGGCUCACCUAGGGGACGAUCCCUAGCUGGUCUGAGAGGAUGUUCAGCGGCAUGUGGACAGGGACACGACGCUGACUCCUCCGGAGGCUGCAGUGGGCAAUAGUGCACAAUGGGCGCAAGCCUGAUGAAGCCAGGCGGCGUGUAUGAAGGAGGCCAUAGGGGGGGAAAGUACUUUUAACGGUGGGACGGUAGCCGGAGAAGAAGCACCGGCUAACUCCGUGCCAGCAGCCGCGGGAAUAC